rnacentral:rRNA from 1 species
CAGCCGCCGCGGUAAUACGUAGGGGGCGAGCGUUGUCCUGAAUUAUUGGGCGUAAAGCGCGCGCAGGCGGUCCCUUAAGUCUGAUGUGAAAGCCCACGGCUCAACCGUGGAGGGUCAUUGGAAACUGGGGGACUUGAGUGCAGAAGAGGAGAGCGGAAUUCCACGUGUAGCGGUGAAAUGCGUAGAGAUGUGGAGGAACACCAGUGGCGAAGGCGGCUCUCUGGUCUGUAACUGACGCUGAGGCGCGAAAGCGUGGGGAGCAAACAGGAUUAGAUACCCUGGUAGUCCACGCCGUAAACGAUGAGUGCUAAGUGUUAGAGGGGUUAAACCCUUUAGUGCUGUAGCUAACGCGUUAAGCACUCCGCCUGGGGAGUACGGCCGCAAGGCUGAAACUUAAAGGAAUUGGCGGG